GGGCAUUUGGGAAAGAUAAAAAAUAGCGCUUGAUAACAUGGGGCUUCUUUUAAUCAAGUUGUCCCGGGUUCGAAUCCCGGAUGUCUCA
rnacentral:tRNA from 1 species